rnacentral:misc_RNA from 1 species
ACAAACUUGGUCAUUUAGAGGAAGUAAAAGUCGUAACAAGGUUUCCGUAGGUGAACCUGCGGAAGGAUCAUUAUUAUUUGGACUGAAGUCUAAUCUUAAAAUUAGACUUCUCACCAAAUAUUGAACUUAUCUUACUAUAUUUUAUAUAUAGUAAUUGGACAUAUAUUUAAAACCCCACUCUUUAAACGAAAUUUUAUUAUAUGAAUCAUAAAAAAAGAUCACUUUCAACAACGGAUCUCUUGGCUCUCGCAUCGAUGAAGAACGCAGC